UACGAAGGGGGCGAGCGUUGUUCGGAGUUACUGGGCGUAAAGGGCGCGUAGGCGGCGCUCCAAGUUAGGCGUGAAAGCCCCGGGCUCAACCUGGGAAUAGCGCUUAAGACUGGAGUGCUCGAGUGCGGAAGAGGUGAGUGGAAUUCCCAGUGUAGAGGUGAAAUUCGUAGAUAUUGGGAAGAACACCAGCGGCGAAGGCGGCGCUCUGGGCCGGUACUGACACUGAGGAGCGAAAGCAUGGGUAGCGAACAGG
rnacentral:rRNA from 1 species